AACGAACGCUGGCGGCAUGCCUAACACAUGCAAGUCGAACGAGACCUUCGGGUCUAGUGGCGCACGGGUGCGUAACGCGUGGGAACCUGCCCUUAGGUUCGGAAUAACUCCCCGAAAGGGGUGCUAAUACCGGAUAAUGUCUUCGGACCAAAGAUUUAUCGCCUUUGGAUGGGCCCGCGUUGGAUUAGCUAGUUGGUAGGGUAAAAGCCUACCAAGGCGACGAUCCAUAGCUGGUCUGAGAGGAUGAUCAGCCACACUGGGACUGAGACACGGCCCAGACUCCUACGGGAGGCAGCAGUGGGGAAUAUUGGACAAUGGGCGAAAGCCUGAUCCAGCAAUGCCGCGUGAGUGAUGAAGGCCUUAGGGUUGUAAAGCUCUUUUACCCGGGAUGAUAAUGACAGUACCAGGAGAAUAAGCGCCGGCUAACUCCGUG
rnacentral:rRNA from 1 species